GGCAUGAUGGUCUAGUGGUAAGGACAAAGUGUUGCGGGUUAGUGAAGCCAGUUUCGAUUCCUGGUCGUGUCA